rnacentral:tRNA from 1 species
GGGGCUGUAGCUCAGUUUGGUAGAGCACCACAAUGGCAUUGUGGGGGUCGCGAGUUCGAAUCUCGUCGGCUCCACCA